rnacentral:rRNA from 1 species
UACGUAGGGGGCAAGCGUUGUCCGGAAUCAUUGGGCGUAAAGCGCGUGUAGGCGGCCCGAUAAGUCUGCCGUGAAAGUCCAGGGCUCAACCCUGGGAUGCCGGUGGAAACUGUCGGGCUUGAGUCCGGAAGAGGCGAGUGGAAUUCCUGGUGUAGCGGUGAAAUGCGCAGAUAUCAGGAGGAACACCUAUAGCGAAGGCAGCUCGCUGGGACGGUACUGACGCUCAGGCACGAAAGCGUGGGGAGCAAACAGG